GCUCGGGUGGUGAAAUUGGCAAACACGUACGGUUCAGGGCCGUAUGCCGCAAGGCUUGCGGGUUCAACUCCCGCCCCGAGCA
rnacentral:tRNA from 1 species